rnacentral:rRNA from 1 species
AUUGAACGCUGGUGGCAGGCCUAACACAUGCAAGUCGAGCGAGCGGCGGACGGGUGAGUAAUGUCUGGGAAUCUGCCUGAUAGCGGGGGAUAACUACUGGAAACGGUAGCUAAUACCGCAUACUAUCGGAUGAGCCUAGGUGGGAUUAGCUAGUUGGUGGGGUAAAGGCUCACCUAGGCGACGAUCCCUAGCUGGUCUGAGAGGAUGACCAGCCACACUGGAACUGAGACACGGUCCAGACUCCUACGGGAGGCAGCAGUGGGGAAUAUUGCACAAUGGGCGCAAGCCUGAUGCAGCCAUGCCGCGUGUAUGAAGAAGGCCUUCGGGUUGUAAAGUACUUUCAGCGGGGAGGCGUUACCAGCAGAAGAAGCACCGGCUAACUCCGUGCCAGCCGCCGCGGUAAUAC